rnacentral:rRNA from 1 species
AUGAACGCUAGCGGCAGGCUUAACACAUGCAAGUCGAGGGGCGAACACGGGUAGCAAUACCUGGUGGCGACCGGCGCAAGGGUGCGUAACGCGUGAGCAACAUGCCCUAUACAGGGGGAUAAUCCAGGGAAACUUGGUCUAAUAUCCCAUAGUAUUUAGAGGUGGCAUCACCACUAAAUUAAAGCUUCGGUGGUAUAGGAUUGGCUCGCGUGACAUUAGCUGGAUGGUGGGGUAACGGCUCACCAUGGCGAUGAUGUCUAGGGGUUCUGAGAGGAAGACCCCCCACACUGGGACUGAGACACGGCCCAGACUCCUACGGGAGGCAGCAGUGAGGAAUAUUGGACAAUGGAUGGAAAUCUGAUCCAGCCAUGCCGCGUGCAGGAAGACGGCCCUAUGGGUUGUAAACUGCUUUUAUAUGGGAGCAAUAAGGUUUACGCGUAGACCGAUGAGAGUACCAUAUGAAUAAGCAUCGGCUAACUCCGUG